rfam:Rhizobiales bacterium HL-109 ITZY_scaf_66, whole genome shotgun sequence.
AUAAUCUCCAUGGGGUGCCCCGGUCGGGGGCUGAGAGGCGCGGUGCGUCAACCCAUCGAACCUGAUCCGGGUCAUGCCGGCGGAGGGAUGAGAGAUGGCCGAUAC